rnacentral:rRNA from 1 species
UAGGGAAUCUUCGGCAAUGGACGGAAGUCUGACCGAGCAACGCCGCGUGAGUGAAGAAGGUUUUCGGAUCGUAACGCUCUGUUGUUAGAGAAGAACGUUGGUAGGAGUGGAAAAUCUACCAAGUGACGGUAACUAACCAGAAAGGGACGGCUAACUACGUGCCAGCAGCCGCGGUAAUACGUAGGUCCCGAGCGUUGUCCGGAUUUAUUGGGCGUAAAGCGAGCGCAGGCGGUUCUUUAAGUCUGAAGUUAAAGGCAGUGGCUUAACCAUUGUACGCUUUGGAAACUGGAGGACUUGAGUGCAGAAGGGGAGAGUGGAAUUCCAUGUGUAGCGGUGAAAUGCGUAGAUAUAUGGAGGAACACCGGUGGCGAAAGCGGAUCUCUGGUCUGUAACUGACGCUGAGGCUCGAAAGCGUGGGGAGCAAACAGG